AUUGAACGCUGGCGGCAGGCCUAACACAUGCAAGUCGAGCGGAGCGGCGGACGGGUGAGUAAUGCCUAGGUAUGUGCAUGGGAGUGGGGGAUAACGUCCGGUAAUGGGCGCUAAUACUGCAUACUUGCACAUGAGACUAGGUCGGAGUAGCUGGUUGGGGGGGUAAAGGCCUACCAAGGCGACGAUCCGUAGCUGGUCUGAGAGGAUGAUCAGUCACACGGGGACUGAGACACGGUCCAGACUCCUACGGGAGGCAGCAGUGGGGAAUAUUGGACAAUGGGCGAAAGCCUGAUCCAGCCAUGCCGCGUGUGUGAAGAAGGUCUUCGGAUUGUAAAGCACUUUAAGUUGGGAGGCGUUACCAACAGAAUAAGCACCGGCUAACUUCGUGCCAGCAGCCGCGGUAAUUC
rnacentral:rRNA from 1 species